UACGUAGGGUCCAAGCGUUGUCCGGAUUUAUUGGGUGUAAAGAGCUCGUAGGCGGUUCGGUAAGUCGGAUGUGAAAACUCAGGGCUCAACCCGGAGACGCCAUCCGAUACUGCUGUGACUUGAGUCUGGUAGGGGAUCACGGAAUACCUGGUGUAGCGGUGAAAUGCGCAGAUAUCAGGUGGAACACCGAUGGCGAAGGCGGUGAUCUGGGCCAGUACUGACGCUGAGGAGCGAAAGCGUGGGGAGCAAACAGG
rnacentral:rRNA from 1 species